rnacentral:tRNA from 2 species
GGGAUUGUAGUAUAGUGGUCAGUACUUCUCGUUGUGGUUCGAUUUCGAUCAUACAACGAUCCGAGAGGACCCAGGUUCGAUUCCUGGCAAUCCCA